rnacentral:rRNA from 1 species
UACGUAGGGGGCAAGCGUUGUCCGGAUUUAUUGGGCGUAAAGAGCGUGUAGGCGGCUUUACAGGUCCGUUGUGAAAACUCGAGGCUCAACCCUGGGAUGCCGGUGGAUACUGUCGGGCUCGAGUCCGGAAGAGGCGAGUGGAAUUCCUGGUGUAGCGGUGAAAUGCGCAGAUAUCAGGAGGAACACCAAUGGCGAAGGCAGCUCGCUGGGACGUGACUGACGCUGAGACGCGAAAGCGUGGGGAGCAAACAGG